rnacentral:rRNA from 1 species
UACGUAGGGUCCGAGCGUUGUCCGGAAUUACUGGGCGUAAAGAGCUCGUAGGCGGUUUGUCGCGUCGGGAGUGAAAUCCACCGGCUUAACUGGUGGCUUGCUUUCGAUACGGGCAGACUGGAGGUAUGCAGGGGAGAACGGAAUUCCUGGUGUAGCGGUGAAAUGCGCAGAUAUCAGGAGGAACACCGGUGGCGAAGGCGGUUGCCUGGGGCUUUGCUGACGCUGAUGCGCGAAAGCGUGGGGAGCGAACAGG